rnacentral:rRNA from 1 species
GACAGGUGCUGCAUGGCUGUCGUCAGCUCGUGUUGUGAAAUGUUGGGUUAAGUCUCGCAACGAGCGCAACCCCUAUCUUUAGUUGCCAGCAUUAAGUUGGGCACUCUAGAGAGACUGCCCGGGUUAACCGGGAGGAAGGUGGGGAUGACGUCAAGUCCUCAUGGCCCUUAUGCCUAGGGCUACACACGUAAUACAAUGGUGCAUACAGAGGGAAGCGACCCAGCGAUGGUUAGCAAAUCUCAAAAAGUGCAUCUCAGUCCGGAUUGGAGUCUGCAACUCGACACCAUGAAGUUGGAAUCGCUAGUA